rnacentral:rRNA from 1 species
UACGGAGGGAGCUAGCGUUGUUCGGAAUUACUGGGCGUAAAGCGCGCGUAGGCGGCUAUUCAAGUCAGAGGUGAAAGCCCGGGGCUCAACCCCGGAACUGCCUUUGAAACUAGGUAGCUAGAAUCUUGGAGAGGCGAGUGGAAUUCCGAGUGUAGAGGUGAAAUUCGUAGAUAUUCGGAGGAACACCAGUGGCGAAGGCGGCUCACUGGUCCAUUACUGACGCUGAGGUGCGAAAGCGUGGGGAGCAAACAGG